rnacentral:rRNA from 1 species
UACGUAGGGUCCGAGCGUUGUCCGGAAUUAUUGGGCGUAAAGAGCUCGUAGGCGGUCCGUUAAGUCGGAAGUGAAAUCUCAAGGCUCAACCUUGAAAUCGCUUUCGAUACUGGCGGACUUGAGGCAGGUAGGGGAAGGUGGAAUUCCUGGUGUAGCGGUGAAAUGCGCAGAUAUCAGGAGGAACACCGGUGGCGAAGGCGGGUCUCUGGGCCGUAACUGACGCUGAGGAGCGAAAGCGUGGGGAGCGAACAGG